rnacentral:rRNA from 1 species
CAGUAGCCGCGGGAAUACGAAGGGGGCUAGCGUUGCUCGGAAUGACUGGGCGUAAAGGGCGCGUAGGCGGCAUACACAGUCAGAUGUGAAAUUCCUGGGCUUAACCUGGGGGCUGCAUUUGAUACGUGUAGGCUAGAGUGGAGAAGAGGGUCGUGGAAUUUCCAGUGUAGAGGUGAAAUUCGUAGAUAUUGGAAAGAACACCGGUGGCGAAGGCGGCGACCUGGUCUUUAACUGACGCUGAGGCGCGAAAGCGUGGGGAGCAAACAGGAUUAGAGACCCCAGUAGUCCCUGUCUCUUAUAC